AAAAAGGAAAAUCUUCGAGAAUAGGAUCAUCUACGAAUGAUGGUCCUAGUACAAAUCGAGAAGGGUCUAUUUCGACGAAUUGGCGAAGGAGAGUAUAAUCAAGGGAAGGAGAUGAAGGAAGCGGAGGAAGCGGAGCCAUUGGCUAAAUUGGAGAAAAGAAAGAGAAGAAGAUGGAAAGAAGAAGAAAUAGUGAAAGAAAAAUUCCAGCGAGGAUGAAAAAGAAAGGGUAAGGAAGAAGAAAACAAUGAAACACGAAAGACAAGAAAGAGGGAAGAGGAGUGUUAUUGGAUAGAAUUCUGAAAAAAUAG
rnacentral:lncRNA from 1 species